rnacentral:rRNA from 1 species
CGAAUUCGCCCUUCCUACGGGAGGCAGCAGUGGGGAAUUUUACGCAAUGGGGGAAACCCUGACGUAGCGACACCGCGUGGGCGAAGAAGCCCUCUGGGGUGUAAAGCUCUGUCAGCAGGGACGAAAAAAAUGACGGUACCUGCAGAGGAAGCAUCGGCUAACUACGUGCCAGCAGCCGCGGUAAGACGUAGGAUGCAAGCGUUGUCCGGAUUCAUUGGGCGUAAAGAGUUCGUAGGCGGUUUGUUAAGUCUGAUGUUAAAGAUCAGGGCCCAACCCCGAGAGUGCAUUGGAUACUGGCAGACUGGAGUGCAGUAGAGGCAAGUGGAAUUCCCAGUGUAGCGGUGAAAUGCGUAGAUAUUGGGAAGAACACCGGUGGCGCAGGCGACUUGCUGGGCUGUAACUGACGCUGAGGAACGAAAGCUAGGGGAGCAAAUGGGAUUAGAUACCCCAGUAGUCCUAGCUGUAAACGAUGGAUACUAGGCGUUGCAGGUAUCGACCCCUGCAGUGCCGCAGUUAACGCGAUAAGUAUCCCGCCUGAGUAGUACGGCCGCAAGGUUGAAACUCAAAGGAAUUGACGG